rnacentral:rRNA from 1 species
UACGAAGGGUGCAAACGUUGCUCGGAAUCAUUGGGCGUAAAGCGCACGUAGGCGGCCUCAUAAGUCGGAUGUGAAAUCCCACGGCUCAACCGUGGAAGUGCAUCCGAAACUGCGAGGCUCGAGUAUGGAAGAGGGUCGCAGAAUUCCCGGUGUAGAGGUGAAAUUCGUAGAUAUCGGGAGGAAUACCAGUGGCGAAGGCGGCGACCUGGGCCAAUACUGACGCUGAGGAGCGAAAGCCAGGGGAGCAAACGGG